rnacentral:lncRNA from 1 species
AGAUGGAGCCUUGCUCUGUCGCUCAGCUCAGGCUGGAGCGCGGUGGUGCAAUCUAAGCUCACUGCAACCUCCGCCUCCCGGGUUUAAGCAAUUCCCCUGCCUCAGCCUCCCUAGUAGUUGGAACUACAGGUGCAUGCCACUAUGCCCAGCUAAUUUUUGUAUUAUUAGUAGAGACGGGGUUUUGCCAAGUUAGCCAGGCUGGUCUCAAACUCCUGAUCUCAGGCGAUCUGCCUGCCUUAGCCUCCCAAAGUGCUGGUAUUACAUGGGUGAGCCACUGCGCCUGGCCAUAUUUUCUUCUUGAUAUGCUUAAGCCUGAAUUUAUUUAUAUUACUCUUUACUUCCCCAUUCCUCUUUUUCCACAUAUGAUCAUAUCAAUAGUCUGUUUUCCUACAGAUUAACUUUGGUACUUCAAAAAUAUAAUCAAAUCUGUAUUUCUUAUUUCAUUGACAAUGGACAGUACCUCUGAACUCUCCACUUUGUAAGACAAACACAUUAUAACUCCCAGUCUUUCUUCCACUUCUUUUUACCUUGGUACUUCUCAGUGUUCUAAGCCAAUAAACAAUAUUCCCUCUAAAAUGACAAGAUAAAUAUAAUAUGUCUGCAGAGCUAGGCACAGUGCGUUAGUAAUAUAUUUCCUUCUCUAUUGGUCUAUGGAAGUUAUACUUCUUUCUCAAUAGGUUUUAUAUAGGACUUCUCUGCCACUCAGGGGAGAAUAUUCUAGCUUCAAAUCCCAAUGAAUUAUCUGCUUGAACACUUCACUAAUAGAGUUUAUCAUAUCCUUACCCUUUUCAUAGUUCUGAAUCCAUUCAGUUCCUUUUUUCCUCUGAAGACCUGCCUCCUGGAAUGCUAUAUCCACUGGGUCUAGUCUGCCCUGGUUACUCUCUAGGGUCAUUCCAAAGCUGUCAUUGUGAGACUUACUUUCACUGUUCCAUGGACAUCACCCUGUUACUUGGAUCUUAUGUUUUCUUUAUGGCUUACAUCCUUAAGUUAACUUCCUAAGGAAGGGUACACAGGAGAUAAAAUGAAUGAGAUCUUGCAAACCACAAAGAUCUUUAUUCUACUUUCACACUUAAUUGAUCAAGUCAUUUGGCUGGACAUAUAUUUCUUGGUUGAAGAUCAUUUUUUUCAGAACUUUGAAAGCAUAAAUUCACUGUCUUCUAGCACUUAGUUUUGCUGAUAAGAAAUCUGAUAUCAGACUAAUUCUAAUUCAUUUGUUGAUUACUUUGCUUUUUUUAAUCUCUGGAAGUUUUUAAGAUCUUUUCUUUAUCUUUGUUUUCAACUGAACAACUUUAUUUACUUAUUUACUAUUUUCUCUUAUACAGAUGCUCCUUAACUUAGUGGAGUUAUGUCCUAAUAAACCCACUUUAAGUUGAAAAUGUCGUAAGUCAAAAAGGCAUUUAAUACACCUAAGUCAAAAAGGCAUUUAAUACACCUAACCUACCAAACAUCAUAGUUUGGCUUAGCCUAUCUUAAAGGUGCUCAGAACACUUACAUUAGCCUACAGUUGGGCAACACCAUAUAAUACAAAGCUUAUUUUAUAAAAAAGUAUUGAAUAUCUCAUGUUUUUUUUUGAAUACUGUGCUAAAAGUGAAAACCAGAAUGGUUAUAUGGGUACUUGAGGGAUGAUUUCUACUGAAUGUAUAUCACUUUCACAGCAUGGCAAAGUAAAAAAAUUAAGUUGACCUAUUGAAAGUCAGGGGAUGUCUGUAUUUAUUUUUUGCUAAUCAUCUCCCCUCUAUGUACUUUCUCAAUAUUUAUUAGUCAAUAUUGAUCAUUCUGGAUAUAUCCUCUGUGUUUCUUUAGUCUAUAUUUUCUGUUUCUUUGUCCUUACUGUUCUAUGUCUUGGGAGACUUCCCUGGUUUUGUCUUGUAAGACUUCUCUUAAAUUAUAUGUUUUAAUCUAAGAUCAUUUUCUUAUUCACCUAUGUUUUUUCAUAAUAUAUUUUUCCUGUUUGCAGAGUCAACAUUUUUGGGAAUGUCUCUGAGAAUAUUAUUUUGAGGGUUUCAAAAGCACUCUUAAAUCCUCUGGAUUAUUAGCGCUUGUGGUGGAGCCAUUUUUCUACUAGUUUAUAUCUUUCUCUUUCAUAUUGCUGGCUUUAGUCAAACAUUUAGUGAUUUGGGUGGGCUGUCCAUCUGGAAGAAUGAAACUGACUGGGGGCUCUGGGUACGGGAGAUGUUUCUUGACCGGCAUCCUCUGCCUUUUGCUUCAUGACUAGGGCACUGAUCAUUAAGCCUGAGAAUCCCUAAUUACUAGGAUGAGGAGGGCUUUAAUUAGCACAUUAACGUACUGUCUUAUUUUUUUCUAGUAUGAUCAGAGAAGAUAGCCCACAUUUUUUUCGUUCAGUGUUAAGUGCCUGGUUUUAGGCAGUCUUACUUCCAGGGGUGGGAAAGGGCUAGUAUGUGUGCUUUCUAUUCCAUAAACCAGGGGUCAGCAAAUUUUUUUCUGUGAAAGCCAGAUAGUAAAAAUUUAGGCAUUGCAAACUACAUAUAGUUUCUGGCACAAAUUCUCAUUUUAUAAACAAUGCUUUAAAACCACAAAAACUGCAAAAAUAGGUGUUGGGAUAUAGUAUACCAGUCUCUGCAAAACAGACUUGCAUCAGUCCCUCCCUCUUCAGCCUCAUGUUUCACUGUCAACUUCUGAGUCUCAAUCCUAUCUAGAUGGGGAUUCCAUAAAAUAGAUUGAACCCUCCUCUUUCACCUACCACCAUUCCUGAGGUUUAGCCUUUCUCUUUGUGUAUUUUGAUUUCUUCUGUGUAUUUCUGUGUUUCGUUCACUUCUCAGUCAUAAAUCUUCCAUCAGUAUUUUGUCUUUCAAAUUCACAUCCACUUGUGGGCCCCUUCCUUCUUUCUGUUAUUGUUUGUAGUAGAUUCUGUUAGUUACUUACAUCCUGUCAUUGCUCCCCGUUUUUCAGCACCCAUCCCAUUUUUCAAUGCCAGCACCUGUAGCUCUUAGCCUGAAGGUCCUGUCUGGAUGUAGAGCUUGCUCUACCUGUCCAUGAGCAGUCUGGUGGAGCCAGAGAAUGUCCCCUCCCAUCAGCCUUCAACAAAUGACUAGUAGGAAUUGGUGAACAAACACCUCAGCUUCUUUUUCCUUCUGUUGGGAUAACUUUGAGUUGCAUGUUCUACUCUGGCUUCCGAGUUGCUUAGCUGAAUUAAGCACCAGGUGCCAAAUGAUCUGUUGAUAGUGAGCCCUUUAUUGAAUCUCCUGCAUUUCAUAUCUCACUUUUCCUCUCCUGUAUUAGUGUUUCCUGGCAUUACCUCUCAUAUAAAUUGCUUGUGGUAUAGAAUCCUUAUCUCAAGGUCUGCUUCUGAGCAACUCAAAUGGAGAUACCAUGGGUUAAAUUUGUUCUUUAUUACAAUUUCAAUGAAAUAUUAGAUGGAAGAGCAGACAACUAAGUACUUCUUUCAUUAUAUUGAAUCUGAAUCCUAUUAACUGAUAUUAUUUUGAGCAUUUACCGUUAGCCAGGUAUUAUUCAUGGAGAGUAGAAUAAUGAGUUAUACGUGAAUUCUACCUGCAAGGAACUUGUGUUCUACUGAACAGAUAAUUCAUUCAAUAGAAUGUUUUAAGUGUUGUUAAGAAAAGUUGAGGGCAGCCUUCGUGGCUCACACCUAUAAUCCCAGCACUUUGUGAGGCCUAUGAGGGCAGAUAACUUGAGCCCAUGAGUUCGAGACCAGCCUGGGCAACGAGGUGAAAUCUUGUCUCUACAAAAAAUACAAAAAUUAGCUGGACAUGUUGGCAUGCACCUGUAGUCCCAAGCUACUUGGGAAGCUGAGGUGGGAGGAUCACCUGAGCCUGGGAGGUAGAAGCUGCAGUGAGCCAUGAUUAUGCUGCUGCACUCCAGCCUGGGCAACAAACAGAGACCCUGUCUCAAAAAAAAAAAAAAAAAAAAGGUAGAGAUGAAUGUGUCAUUGGGCUUAAAGUCAUGAAAGGUUAUUUGAAGAUGGGUGGUUAGGGAUGAAUUCAGGAGGAGGUGACAUUUGAGUUGGGUAAAAGGGAAGUCAAUUUGAAGAUAAAGUGAUGGGGCUGGACGUUCCUAGGGAAGAAACAGAAUAAGCACAGUCCCUUUUCAGGUGGCAUGUGAAGAGGAAUGGUUCACUCAGGAGAAGCCUUACCUGCCUAAGUGAGGGAAGGCAACAUUAUGUGAAGCAAGUGUAAGUACAUACAAAAACCCAGACAUGUACACAGGAUUAAUUAAAAUUGUAAGGAGAUGCUCAUAUAAAUAUUGAUGGAGAUUGGUGAUAAAUGAUUCAUAUAAUCAGGAAUUUGGAUUUGAUGUGGAAGCAAAUGGGAGCCAUUAGAUUCCUCUGUGAAGGGAAAUUGAAAGCAUCUUUAUGAGAAAACGUUGUGCUUUAGGAUGUUCUAUUCUUGUGAGGAAUAGAAUGAUGUAGGUAAGGAAGACGCUAUUGCAGGGAUGUGGUAAUUUUUCAGUCUGCAUCAUUGUGGUGGAUCGUAGGAUUAAGAAUCAGAGGGCCACUUUGAGAAAUAUGGAAGAAGAAUCUGAAUUGCCAAAGGCAGAAAAAACAGAUAGAGGUAUGGAAAAUAGAAAAGCAAGGAAAAAUUCAAAGGACAAGUUCAUUCUCUGAGAAAUCUCUCAAAGUGGGGAGGAUAAUAGAGGGAAUAAGAAAGAAAAAAAGGCCUGUUUCCUGUAUCUGGGCCAGUCAGAAUUGAGGUUAGCUAGGUAGCUUAUUGGCCGGAGCUCUGCUUCAUCUUCUAUUUAUCCUCUCACUAUUUCUAACCAUCUAUGUCCUUCCAAAGAGUUGGUGAAGAAUUGUAUAAAUCUGUUGGAGGUUAUGUGUUGGGUUUAUCCUGAUUUUUUUUUGGUACCAGUUUCCUAAUGGAUUUUUAAUGGGAAACAUUUAAAAAAUAGAAAGUAAUCAUUCUUUAUUGAUAAUAAAUCCUUGAGUGUAACUGAAAGACUUUUAGUGCCCACAAAUUAUACGUUACAGUUUCUAUUUAAACUAAUUUACUGCUAUAGUCACAACAGUUGUUUUGCUGAUUUCCAUGUGAAGACUUCUUGCAUGGAAAAAAAGUACAAAACAAAAUCUACUGCUUUCCUACAUUGCCAAUUUCUUAGGCACCAAUACAUAAGUUAGCAUUAUUAGUGGGGAAAGUCACUAAUAAUGUAUUUAACUAUAUGCCGAGAAGUCUGUGCUCAUUAUUGCAGCCAUGGGGUAGCAAUAGCUACACAUUAAGAAGUUACGAGCUACUAUUUCAGAGAAAUUGCUCUUCCAAUAAUAAGUAGUCUGUGUUCUAUUUUUCUCCUUCCUUGAAUAUCAGUGUGGAAAAAAGUUAAUUCAGAAAACAACAAUCUCAGGAAUUGAAAAGCUUAAAUAAUCUCGUAACUGGCCUUUGUUCCCCUUCCUAGCCUUAUUAAAUCGUAUUUAGAAUGAUUCUAGCAUAUUACUUGCUUUUUCAGACCCUAAAUCUUAAGCAUUUGCUUUAUUUCAUACAUCCGUGAAAGGCCAACUCUCACUGUCUCCUCUGUUAGUGACUGGUAGAAGUGGUAUCACACACUUCUAGUUAUCUACAUUUUUGCCUAUUAGUAAUUUACCCUGAGGUCCAUUUCCUUUCUUUUGUUAUCCAACAAUAUUGAACCAGGCCAUCCUAUAUGAAUUUUGCUUUUUAUGGCUUUGGAAUUAGCAAUUACUCUGAAGCUUUCAUAUACUCUAAUCUCAUCUUUCUUCUUUCUCACUGUUCUUUUAACAAUGAUGUCAUUGCUCAUAAUCUAUAGUAAUAUAAUUUGCAUAUUACUGUUUGGCUACUGUCAGACAGUUCUGCUUAGCAAAUUAUGCAAAAGGUUCUAAUGCCAGGACAGGACGUCUAUCUUCUGGGUGAAUUCUGAGGUUGUCAUCUAUGUGGGGGAGCUGUACAUAGGAAAGUAGCUCUCUUUUCUGUUUCAGAUUUAGUUUUGGAAAAAGUGCAAAAAGUUAUCCCUGAGGAAACCAGGGAUACCCAAACACCUGCAGAAGCAGUAUGGCUCUGUCUGAAAUAAUCCACUUCUAAGAUCACAUGAUCAUUAGGCUAUGGAGGCUGAAAGAGAUCAUAUAGGUUGAGCACCCACCCUUGCCUCUAGUCAACGUUGCUAUCCACUACUGGAUUAGGAAAAUACGAAGCAGAGAUGGAGUAACAUAAUGUAACAGAUAAAAGUGGGGGAUCCAUAGUCAGACAAUGAAAUCCAGAUUUUCCACUUACAGUUCUGAUCUUGGACAGGUUGAUUAACCUCUUUUUGCCUUAGUUGUCUUAACAGUAAAACAGAUACUGAUAAUACGUAUGCUACAGAAUUGUUAAGAUUAAGUGAGGGGCUUCAAAUGUUUUCAAUAUUAAAUAAACAUAAGGUGUUAUUUUUAUUACUUUUAGAGCAUGUAAAGACCAUUUAUUUACGUUUGUGCUGAAAUCUUUCAUUGGCUGUAGCCAGAUAAAUGCAUUGUCAGUUCAACUUUUUGAGUGAAAUCUUUUUCUUUUCUGCUGUGCUCUGCAUUGUAUAAAACCAACUUAGUAACAUAAUUUACACAUCAUUCAAAUGCAUAUACAUGUUUGAGAGUGAUUUUUAAAGAAUCUAGCUGCAUUUUCACAAUGGUUUUAACACAAAGUUGUUAGAGAUAAUAAAAAUAUUUACCUUUUAGCAGCAUGAUUUAUUUCAUACUGGUACUGAAGCUUUGGGCCUGUGUGGUAUUUUUGAAGGAAUGCUUAAAAUUGCUGUAACAAAAAUAACACAUAUUCUGCUUUAACUGCAGCUGGAACUGGCCUUUUAUUUCACAGACUCAUUCUUAUUCUUUUGAAAGAUAGAUAUUUUUAUUAGUAUUGAUAAUUUCAUUCUAUCAAAAUGAUUUCUAAAUCUCAUAGAAUUUUAGUUGUUAUAAACUGGCUUGAGGUGGUGCCACACGUGUAUUUUUAUCAUAAAUAGCUAGUACUAGAAUAAUUUGUCUUCUUUUUAAUUUUAUAUGAGUUGUGCUUUAAUCAUUGGGCACUGAGUCUCAAUAACCUCUGGUGCUGUGGCAUUCCAUUUCCUCCUGGUUCUCACAGCCUCCAACAUUGAUUUCAGAACUGCCUUAUUACUGCAUAAUGUUCCUGGUUCAUUGUUAUAAACAGAUAGCCUGAAGUGAAAUGUAUGCUAUUUAAAGACAGCAGUGUUUUCCUUUUUCUUUUUUAACAUUUGAAUAAUACAUCAGUGUGAAAAAUAACACCUUCAAUAUUAAUAAGUUUUGGAUGCCAACUAGGAUUUUAAAAAUUUGUAUUUCAGAUGCUACUUCAUUACCUAUAAAGGUCUAUCCAUACCAGGUAAAAAAGCAUUUUGUAUUUAUUUGGUAGCUUUUCAGUGUCAGACACUUUGCAUAAAUUGUACUAUUUAAUUCUCAUAAUGGCUCCUGGAGGCAGGAAUUAUUACCCUCAUUUUAGAGAGAAGGGAAUUGAGGAUCAGAGGUAAAAUGAUUUGCAAAAUGAGUAAGUGAAAAACUAGGACUUGAACCUGGCUCUGAUACCAAAGACUGCUCACCUGUUCUACAUUACUGCCUGGAGUGAAGGAGAAAGAAAUAUGUGUGGCAAAAAUGGAAAUGGCUAUGGCCAUUUAGAAGAAUAGUUCUGCCAAGGACCCCUUUACAGAAUUAUCCCACUUCUACAAAAGACUCUGAUAUAGAUACAUUUUAGUUAUAAAUUUUGUUACCAUACGUGAGGAUACAGCAUUGGCCAUAAUUAACUGCUGCUGUUAUAACUUUGUGCAUUAGUGGCAGUUUUGUGAGGCUAGCUGAAUUUUUCGUUUUACCAAGAGCUUGAUUGUUCUCUCUAGACUUCUCUUUGUCUCCUGCUGAGAUCUUGUUAAACAUUUUGAGGAUGAACUAAUCAGUGUUUUGCAUCCUUCCAAUAAGGCGAAUGCUUUUGUUUUCAGCAUAAUUUAAUGUGAGAAUAUUCCGAUGAAAAUAGAUUGAAGACUCCUUCACCAGUUAUGGUCGGGAAAAGUAGGCUGGCAUAGUGAUGGUUUUGGGGCAGGCAACCUCAUUAAUGUUUAACCUGGGGAAGAGACUUCAGAUAAAUGUUUGUAAUGGUCAACAACUUAUAGAUUAUUUCUAAUCAUUUAUUUUCUGAUUCUCAACAUUAAUGGUUCUAGGUCAUUUGCAGAUAUUAAAAUUCUACCAUGGCACAUGUUUAUCUGUGUAACAAACCUGCACAUCCUGCACAUGUACCCCAGGACUUAAAAAUAAAAAUAAAAAUAGGCCGGGCGCAGUGGCUCACGCCUGUAAUCCCAGCAUUUUGGGAGGCCGAGGUGGGUGGAUCAUGAGGUCAGGAGAUCGAGACCAUCCUGGCUAACACGGGGAAACCCCAUCUCUGCUAAAAAUACAAAAAAUUAGCUGGGCCUGGUGGUGGCGGUCACCUGUAGUCCCAGCUACUUGGGAGGCUUAGACAGGAGAAUGGCGUGAGCCCAGGAGGCUGAGCUUGCAGUGAGCCGAUAUGGUGCCACUGCACUCCAGCCUGGGCGACAGAGUGAGACUCCAUCUCGAAAAA